GAUGAACGCUGGCGGCGUGCCUAAUACAUGCAAGUCGAGCGAACAGAUAAGGAGCUUGCUCCUUUGACGUUAGCGGCGGACGGGUGAGUAACACGUGGGUAACCUACCUAUAAGACUGGAAUAACUCCGGGAAACCGGGGCUAAUGCCGGAUAAUAUUUAGAACCGCAUGGUUCUAAAGUGAAAGAUGGUUUUACUAUCACUUAUAGAUGGACCCGCGCCGUAUUAGCUAGUUGGUGGGGUAAUGGCUUACCAAGGCAACGAUACGUAGCCGACCUGCGAGGGUGAUCGGCCACACUGGAACUGAGACACGGUCCAGACUCCUACGGGAGGCAGCAGUAGGGAAUCUUCCGCAAUGGGCGAAAGCCUGACGGAGCAACGCCGCGUGAGUGAUGAAGGUCUUCGGAUCGUAAAACUCUGUUAUUAGGGAAGAACAAAUGUGUAAGUAACUGUGCACGUCUUGACGGUACCUAAUCAGAAAGCCACGGCUAACUACGUGCCAGCCGCCGCAGUAA
rnacentral:rRNA from 1 species